AGUCUUUCUUCUUUUUUUUUUCCCCUUUAUUUAAUAGACCCUGAUUGUACAUAUGGGACAUUCAGUGAAUGGAGCAGAUAAAAGUCACAAAAAUGAUGCUUCUGAGGUCCUGUCAAGCCCCUUAAGUAUAUCAUGGAUUAACAGCAAUUUGAAAAAUGAAAUUGUGGUUGUAUCUGGCUCACCAACAAACAAAGGAAAGGGCGAUGUAAACACUAUAUGGAAAUAUGUGAUCUGUUAAAUUAUAAAUUCACAUUUAAAGAAUUAGAACCACAAAAAAUGUGUAUUGUGCAAAAAUAUGAGUUCAAAUUAUAAUUAUAAGCAG
rnacentral:lncRNA from 1 species